rnacentral:lncRNA from 1 species
AGAACAUGCAUUUUAAAAUAGAACGGUAAUUUUGAGGUAAGGAAAUGUCCGUUAGAUAGGCGAGGUCUUUACAAUGUGAUCACAUGGACACAGCAGCUGCGUAAGACAGAUCCUGUCCAGUCAGAGUCAGCUCACCCCCUAGACAGAUCCUGUCCAGUCAGAGUCAGCUCACCCCCUAGACAGAUCCUGUCCAGUCAGAGUCAGCUCACCCCCUAGACAGAUCCUGUCCAGUCAGAGUCAGCUCACCCCCUAGACAGAUCCUGUCCAGUCAGAGUCAGCUCACCCCCUAGACAGAUCCUGUCCAGUCAGAGUCAGCUCACCCCCCUAGACAGAUCCUAUCCAGUCAGAGUCAGCUCACCCCUCUUCAUCUCACCUGGGCUGCCCGACAGACACGGAUCACGUCUCAGGUGAGGACGGUUGAGAGGGCGCCAGCUCCUCAGGCUUUGCCCGCUGGUGUCGUGGACAUCUCCCCACAGGAGUAUUUUGGAAUAACACUACAGAACCAGUUUUCUCAAAUGAGUUUUAAAAUAUUCAGGAAAGAAAUAAACAAGACAAAACAAGACAUCGCCCACAAAGGAAUUGACUGACCUUUCCUUGUGUUGGUAACCUUUCCAGUAAUUGGGCAAGAAAUCCACAUUUUUCCGAUGUUUUUUAUAAAGCCAUUUUUUAGCAAACCUGCAUGUAUUCCAAAAGUAAAGACAAAACAGGAUGAAUCUUGAGGAGCCAGAGAGGGGAAGGAGGAACGUUUGUUUCUUAAGGGCUUCUCUGAGGCAGGUUCCCAACUUUAUGCCUUGAUAGCUGAUUUCUCUCCCUAAUCAGCACCUUCUGUGUCAGAUCCAGGCAAGAGUUGAAAUCCGUGGGAUUCGUGGAAAAGCAUACAUUUAGGAAGUGCAUUUGGCUG